CAGUUGCCAGCAUGUCCUCCGGGAUGAUGGGGACACUGUUGGGACCGCCUCUGCUAAAGAGGAGGAAGGAAUGGGCAACGGUAGGUCAGCAUGCCCCGAAUUAUCCGGGCUACACGCGGGCUACAAUGGUCAGGACAAUGGGUAUCGACACCGAGAGGUGGAGGCAAUCUCCUAAACCUGUCCUUAGUUCGGAUUGUGGGCUGCAACUCGCCCACAUGAAGCUGGAAUCCGUAGUAAUCGCGUUUCAAAAUAGCGCGGUGAAUAUGUCCCUGCUCCUU
rnacentral:rRNA from 1 species